UGGUAUUUAGUAUGUAUUUCAUUAAUGUUUAUUUUCAGGCUGUAACAACUACAGGUUGAACAACAUAUCACUAUAAUUAACAUUUUAUCACCUUUUUCUAGUAUUGCCCUGUACCUGUGAUGUGUGUUCGUGUAUGCUAGUCAACCACGCGUGACCACAUCAGUGCAGUCAGUGUGAGCUCUUUUGGUAGCCAUAGCUACAAUACAAACACCCAAGCUAUCUUUAAACUUUGACCUUUGUCUCUUUCUCUCCCAUUGGAUAAUUAACACUCACCUGUAUCUGCAUGCUUUCUUUGGACUGACCAGACAGGACAGAAUUAUUUAGUUUUUGGAGAAACAAGUUCCGAUCAGAGAGAAAUAGUAGAAGUUUAAUUUAAAGGUUUCCCCAGUUGUUAUGGAAUAUAUCAACACAAUGCCUACGUGUAAUUCAUAUGGGUGUGUCUUGUGUCUUAUGUUUAAUAAAAGAUGAUGCCCUAACCCGUAGCUGGUGUUGUGAACUUUGUUGAACCUAGCUUCACGC